CAGAAGAGGAAUUUUCAUUUUCCCUCUCUCGACCGCCCUUUUCUUCCUCUCCCUUCCCUCUUUCGAGCGCCAUUUUCAUCGUCAGUCGAUCGCCCUUCGAUUGCCCUUCUGCCUUGCCAUGGCGUGAUGAUUCAGACCGUUCAUCCAGAAGCUCGUAUACAGAUUUCAUGCUAAGCAUGGCAUUGCUAGGUGCAAUUUUUGGAGCUGCCUUAGGGGGUUGGACUAAUGAUGUUUAUGGGAAUAAGAAAGCUACCCUCACCUGAGCAAGUGAAUGCAGGAUGGCUGCAUUUUAUGCUGGUUUCCCUGAAACUGUGCCUAUUAGAACUGUAAACUGGCAAUGCUCAUCUGAACUGAUGGUGGGAUUGAGGCCUACAUAGUAGCUACGAUGCAGGGCCUUGCAUUAUAUCAAAAUCGAAGAAAGGGUUGUACCACUGGGCCAGUUGGAUGUGAUAAGGUAUUUUGAGUUAAACCUAAAUAUGGGUGUUGUGAAUUUUCAAAAUAAAAGGAUUAUUUUGUCUCUUGGUUGUGUCUUCUGUUGACUCCUGGUUGUGUCUCAUGGUGCCUUUUAGCUACUAGUUAGUCUUUUAGUGAAUAAUGUGAUGGAAAGUUAAAACCAAAUCAAGAGACGCUAUGAAAGGACAUGUAAUUAUGGGUCUGUAAUUGAGACUGUUUUUGUAAAAUCGAAUGCACUCGAUUUUUGGCUUUUGUUUUUCAUUUUCUGAGUUCAGGUUGGUAUAUGACAUAUUAGAGCAGAUAUUUUGGUUUUCAUGUAACUUAUACUUUUUUCUGGAGUCAAAUGAAUGCAAUUUCAGGGUUUUCCCACAGUUCUUGAGUUCAGAUUGGUAUUUUUGAGCUCCUGAUGUCUUAUUCUUGCACUUAAAAAAAAAAAAAAAAAACACAAAUCAGAGUACAAAUUG